rnacentral:rRNA from 1 species
CCUACGGGUGGCAGCAGUGGGGGAUAUUGCACAAUGGGGGAAACUCUGAUGCAGCAACGCCGCGUGAGGGAAGAAGUCUUUCGGUAUGUAAAGCUCUAUCAGUAGGGAAGAGAAUGACGGUACCUGACUAAGAAGUUACGUCUAACUCCGUGACAGAAGCCGCGGUAAUACGCAGGGGGCGAGCGUUAUCCGGAUUUACUGGGUGUAAAGGGAGCGUAGGCGGCUGGUCAAGUCUGAAGUGAAAGCCCGGGGCUCAACCCCAGAACUGCUGUGGAAACUGGGCAGCUAGAGUGCUGUAGAGGUAAGCGGAAUUCGUGGUGUAGCGGUGAAAUGCGUAGAUAUUAGGAAGAACACCAGUGGCGAAGGCAGCUUACUGGACAGUAACUGACGUUGAGGCUCGAAAGCGUGGGGAGCAAACAGGAUUAGAUACCCCAGUAGUC